rnacentral:rRNA from 1 species
GCUUGUCUCAAAGAUUAAGCCAUGCAUGUCUAAGUAUAAACAAAUCUAUACUGUGAAACUGCGAAUGGCUCAUUAUAUCAGUUAUAGUUUAUUUGAUGGUCCUUGCUACUUGGAUAACCGUAGUAAUUCUAGAGCUAAUACAUGCAUCAAGCCCCGACUUCUGGAAGGGGUGUAUUUAUUAGAUGGAAACCAAUGCAGGGCAACCUGGAAUAUGGUGAUUCAUAAUAACUCGCGGAUCGGUUUACCGAUGCAUCAUUCAAGUUUCUGCCCUAUCAGCUUUGGAUGGUAGGGUAUUGGCCUACCAUGGCUUUAACGGGUAACGGAGAAUUAGGGUUCGAUUCCGGAGAGGGAGCCUGAGAAAUGGCUACCACAUCCAAGGAAGGCAGCAGG